rnacentral:lncRNA from 1 species
UUUCUGAGAAUUUCCACUCUGAAUUCACAUUCCGUUCAGUGUUAUCGCCACCCUGUGGAUUUCUUGGCUACCUCGCUGGCUUUGAGCACAACCCAGGAAGAAGUUUGAAACCAAGAAAAUGGUGGUUGGGAAGACCAGGAUGCGCAAUGGCAAGAAUUAAUCAGACUGAUGAAAGAAAACAUUGUAAUAUGUAUAGCUCCUCCACGAAAAGUGUGUGCUGACAACUCUGGAAUACACAGUAGGCACCCAAUACAUACAAGGGAGUAAAUGAAUGAAUUAAAGCUGUCUGUAUCUGCUGAUCAUCCACAAUUUAGACGUCCUAUACUACAUUCCAAUUGAGGGCAAGCGGGGUACGUGUCCUGAAUUUAUAGAAUCUUUUGACACAAAGCAAGAGAGCCACAGUCAAGACUCAAGUCAAAAGAAAUUUAGACCCCAUCUGGGCAAACAGGCCUCUAAGCAACAAUCUAAGAUUUCCACCUAUUGUUCUGGCAUUCCUUGUAUAAAUGAUUAUGACUGCAGAGAUCUUAGGAAGUGCUGUGGUACCUUUAGAUGUGGCCUGAGGUGCAUACAUCCUCUUAUGAUUGGCCCUGUAUUUUUCAAUUCACCUCCACAAUCCAAGGCAUAAAUAUUGGAUGGAGAAAUGGAUUCAGAUGGAGGCAUCAUUGAGCUUAUUCUUGACUCAUCUCAGUCCAAACA